rnacentral:rRNA from 1 species
AACUAGACAUAGCUCAAAAUGUUAAACUCUAUAAAACUAUCCUACAAAAAUCAAACAAAACAUUUACCAUAAUUAAAGUAUAGGCGAUAGAAAUUACAACCGACGCUAUAGAGAGAGUACCGCAAGGGAAAUAUGAAGGAAAUCUAUAAGUAUAAAAUAGCAAAGAUUAAAGCUUGUACCUUUUGCAUAAUGACUUAACUAGAAAAUAUUAGCAAAAAGAAUUAAAGUUAAGUACCCCGAAACCAGACGAGCUACCUCUCUAGCAGCCUAUAGAGCGAACCCGUCCAUGUGGCAAAAUGGUGGGACGACUGUGAGGUAGCGGCGACAAACCUAUCGAGCCUGGUGAUAGCUGGUUGUCCAGAGAAGAAUUUUAGUUCUGAUUUAAAUUUACCAAAAAUUAUAAUGAGUUAAAAUGUAAGCUUAAAUAAUAGUCUAAUAGGGUACAGCCUUUUAGACAAGGGAUACAACCCUUAUUAGAGAGUAAACAUCAACCAAACCACAAUAGUUGGCCUAAAAGCAGCCAUCAAAUAAGAAAGCGUUCAAGCCCAACAGCAAUAUAAACAUAAUCCCAAUAGAUAUAAUUAUACUCCUAACACAGAACUGGACUAUUCUAUUUACAAAUAGAAGCAAUAAUGUUAACAUGAGUAACAAGAAAUAAUUCUCCUAGCACACGUGUAUAUCAGAACGAAUAUAUCACUGAUAGUUAUCAAGACAAAUAUUACUAAAUAACUAAAUUUUUAUUACCAAUUGUUAGCCCAACACAGGAGUGCAUUAAAGGAAAGAUUUAAAAAAGUAAAAGGAACUCGGCAAACAAAAAUCCCGCCUGUUUACCAAAAACAUCACCUCUAGCAUAAAAAGUAUUAGAGGCACUGCCUGCCCAGUGACCCUAGUUCAACGGCCGCGGUAUUCUGACCGUGCAAAGGUAGCAUAAUCACUUGUUCUCUAAAUAGGGACUCGUAUGAAUGGCCCCACGAGGAUUUUACUGUCUCUUACUUUAAAUCAGUGAAAUUGACAUUCUCGUGCAGAGGCGAGAAUUAAAAAAUAAGACGAGAAGACCCUAUGGAGCUUUAAUUAAUCAGCUUAUAAAUCACAACACAUCUCCACGAGAGAUAAUCCAUUUUAACUAAGCUGACAAUUUAGGUUGGGGUGACCUCGGAAUAAAAACUAACUCCCGAGAAGAUCUAUUAAGACUUACUAGUCAAGAUUAUUUAACCAGACAAUGAUCCGCCACUGGCGAACAACGAAAUAAGUUACCCUAGGGAUAACAGCGCAAUCCUACUUAAGAGUUCAUAUCGACAGUUAGGGUUUACGACCUCGAUGUUGGAUCAGGACAUCCCAAUGGUGCAGUCGCUAUUAAUGUGUUCGUUUGUUCAACGAUUAAAGUCCUACGUGAUCUGAGUUCAGACCGGAGCAAUCCAGGUCGGUUUCUAUCUAUUCACAAGUCCCUCCUAGUACGAAAGGACAAGAGAGACGGGGCCUACUUAGAACUAAGCGCCUUAAUAUGAUAGAUGAAUUAAUCUAAAUCUUACCUUAUUAACUAUUAGCCCAAGAGAAGGGCCC